rnacentral:rRNA from 1 species
GACGAACGCUGGCGGCGUGCUUAACACAUGCAAGUCGAACGGUAAGGCUCCAGCUUGCUGGGGUACACGAGUGGCGAACGGGUGAGUAACACGUGGGUGACCUGCCCUGCACUUCGGGAUAAGCCUGGGAAACUGGGUCUAAUCCCGGAUAGGACCAUGGUGUGGAUACUGUGGUGGAAAGUUUUUUCGGUGUGGGAUGGGCCCGCGGCCUAUCAGCUUGUUGGUGGGGUAAUGGCCUACCAAGGCGGCGACGGGUAGCCGGCCUGAGAGGGUGGACGGCCACAUUGGGACUGAGACACGGCCCAGACUCCUACGGGAGGCAGCAGUGGGGAAUAUUGCACAAUGGGCGGAAGCCUGAUGCAGCGACGCCGCGUGGGGGAUGACGGCCUUCGGGUUGUAAACUCCUUUCACCAUCGACGAAGGGUUUCUGACGGUAGAUGGAGAAGAAGCACCGGCUAACUACGUG